UGUGAAGUUCGUUCUGUAACCACUGGCUCC
rnacentral:piRNA from 1 species